ACAGGUGCUGCAUGGCUGUCGUCAGCUCGUGUCGUGAGAUGUUGGGUUAAGUCUCCGCAACGAGCGCAACCCUUGUCUUUAAUUGCCAUCAUUAAGUUGGGUACUUUAAAGAGACUGUCGGUGUUAAACCGGAGGAAGGUGGGGAUGACGUCAAGUCCUCAUGGCCUUUAUGCCCAGGGCUACACACGUGCUACAAUGGGUGGUACAAAGAGCAGCGAACUCGCGAGAGCAAGCAAAUCUCAAAAAGCCAUCCUCAGUUCGGAUUGGAGUCUGCAACUCGACUUCAUGAAGUUGGAAUCGCUAGUAAUCGCGGAUCAGCAUGCCGUGGUGAAUACGUUCCCGGGCCUUGUACACACCGCCCGUCACACCCGGAAAAUUGAUUGCACCAGAAGUCAUUGAGCUAACCAUCAUUUAUGAAGGAGGCAGAUGCCUACGGUGUGGUUGGUAAUCGGGGUGAAGUCGUAACAAGGUA
rnacentral:rRNA from 1 species